UACAGAGGGUGCAAGCGUUGUUCGGAAUUACUGGGCGUAAAGAGCUCGUAGGUGGUUUGUCGCGUUGUUCGUGAAAUCUCACGGCUUAACUGUGAGCGUGCGGGCGAUACGGGCAGACUAGAGUACUGCAGGGGAGACUGGAAUUCCUGGUGUAGCGGUGGAAUGCGCAGAUAUCAGGAGGAACACCGGUGGCGAAGGCGGGUCUCUGGGCAGUAACUGACGCUGAGGAGCGAAAGCGUGGGGAGCGAACAGG
rnacentral:rRNA from 1 species